rnacentral:rRNA from 1 species
CCUCUAGAUAGAAAAUAGGUGCCCGUACCGCAAACCGACACAGGUAGUCAAGAUGAGAAUUCUAAGGUGAGCGAGCGAACUCUCGUUAAGGAACUCGGCAAAAUGACCCCGUAACUUCGGGAGAAGGGGUGCUCUUUAGGGUUAACGCCCAGAAGAGCCGCAGUGAAUAGGCCCAAGCGACUGUUUAUCAAAAACACAGGUCUCUGCUAAACCGUAAGGUGAUGUAUAGGGGCUGACGCCUGCCCGGUGCUGGAAGGUUAAGAGGAGUGGUUAGCUUCUGCGAAGCUACGAAUCGAAGCCCCAGUAAACGGCGGCCGUAACUAUAACGGUCCUAAGGUAGCGAAAUUCCUUGUCGGGUAAGUUCCGACCCGCACGAAAGGCGUAACGAUUUGGGCACUGUCUCAACGAGAGACUCGGUGAAAUCAUAGUACCUGUGAAGAUGCAGGUUACCCGCGACAGGACGGAAAGACCCCGUGGAGCUUUACUGUAGCCUGAUAUUGAAAUUCGGCACAGCUUGUACAGGAUAGGUAGGAGCCUUUGAAACGUGAGCGCUAGCUUACGUGGAGGCGCUGGUGGGAUACUACCCUAGCUGUGUUGGCUUUCUAACCCGCACCACUUAUCGUGGUGGGAGACAGUGUCAGGCGGGCAGUUUGACUGGGGCGGUCGCCUCCUAAAAGGUAACGGAGGCGCUCAAAGGUUCCCUCAGAAUGGUUGGAAAUCAUUCAUAGAGUGUAAAGGCAUAAGGGAGCUUGACUGCGAGACCUACAAGUCGAGCAGGGUCGAAAGACGGACUUAGUGAUCCGGUGGUUCCGCAUGGAAGGGCCAUCGCUCAACGGAUAAAAGCUACCCCGGGGAUAACAGGCUUAUCUCCCCCAAGAGUUCACAUCGACGGGGAGGUUUGGCACCUCGAUGUCGGCUCAUCGCAUCCUGGGGCUGUAGUCGGUCCCAAGGGUUGGGCUGUUCGCCCAUUAAAGCGGUACGCGAGCUGGGUUCAGAACGUCGUGAGACAGUUCGGUCCCUAUCCGUCGUGGGCGUAGGAAAUUUGAGAGGAGCUGUCCUUAGUACGAGAGGACCGGGAUGGACAUACCUCUGGUGUACCAGUUGUCGUGCCAACGGCAUAGCUGGGUAGCUAUGUGUGGACGGGAUAAGUGCUGAAAGCAUCUAAGCAUGAAGCCCCCCUCAAGAUGAGAUUUCCCAACUUCGGUUAUAAGAUCCCUCAAAGAUGAUGAGGUUAAUAGGUUCGAGGUGGAAGCAUGGUGACAUGUGGAGCUGACGAAUACUAAUCGAUCGAAGACUUAAUCAAAA